UACGUAGGUGGCAAGCGUUGUCCGGAUUUAUUGGGUUUAAAGGGUGCGUAGGCGUCUUUGUAAGUCAGCGGUGAAAUACUCUAGCUUAACUAGAGGGGUGCCAUUGAUACUGCGGAGCUUGAGUACAGAUGAGGUAGGCGGAAUUGACGGUGUAGCGGUGAAAUGCAUAGAUAUCGUCAAGAACACCGAUAGCGAAGGCAGCUUACUGGGCUGUAACUGACGCUGAUGCACGAAAGUGUGGGGAUCAAACAGG
rnacentral:rRNA from 1 species